AGCAACACUUCAUCCCAUCUUUACAUUCUGAGUUCAAAUUCCUCUGAGAUCGACUUUGCCUUUCAUCCUUUCAGGGUCGAUUAAAUAAAUACCAGUGAAACACUGGGGUUCAAUGUAAUUGAUGACUUCCCUCCCCCACAAAUUUUGGGUGAUGUGGCUAUAGUAGAA